rnacentral:lncRNA from 1 species
CAGGAACCUUGCUUGCCACGAUUAACCCCCUUUCUCCUCCCCGGACCUCCAUGUCCAGCUGACGAGGUUGAUCAACCUCUUGUGGACCCGCAUCUUGAACCAGUCCCAGGUGUUGGCACCUGAUUAGCAAGCAAGACCACAUUGUUAGAGGAAGUUUUUCUUCAAUAUAUGAUAAGAAACUUCAGCGGAAGCACAGAAACUGAAGCACAUGGAGAUGGAUACCAAGCAUCAAUUGUUUUUCAAUGUCAGACGUCCAAGCAUCACAAUCCUCUUCUAAAAACAAAAUUUAAGUGUUCAUAUAAACAAACAGGAAGAAAUUCCAGUUUACUUUAACCAAAAAAUGUUGCUGCAUAUUCAUAGAAAUUGAAGAUCCAAAAGGGAUGGAUACUCCAGUUUUAGUCAAAGUUUAACCAUGAUCACGUUAUUCAUGAUCAUGAUAAAAGAUUACAACUAAUAGCACCACAAAAACAUUAACAUAUAUAUACUUAGGCUUUCAUCCUAGAUGACAAGGAUAGAUAAACAGUGGACUGGAAACACCGCGAUCAAGUACAAUACCUGGUCUGUUACUAUACAGUCCUAGAGAGACUAGGGAAGAGAGAAGUAUGCUGCUUUGAGACUUGGGUUAUUUCAGUUUGAUUUGAAAGCAGUUCAAGAUAACAGGCAGAUGAGAAAAUGACGAGAACCUAGGAGUCGAAUGGCUUCAAUCAAUGAAGCAGUAAAGCAAACCCAGGACGGACUGGACCUCACCAUGGUAGUUUGGUUUCGCAACAAAAAAGGAAUAGUAAGUAGGCAGGCUAGAGCAGAGCAUCAACAACUUGGGUAAACCACCAAACACAAGACUUGCAGGCAUGCACAUCUAGUUCAUAUUAAGACCAACCUUCAAGAGCUUAAUUGGGUAGACAGUGGAGGAGCAUUACAAGCUCAUAUUUUGAGCUUGUAACAAGGCAGAUAAAGAUAAACUAGUAAUAACCUUCAAGCUUAGUUGGUCAUCUUUUGUACACAUUGUGCAAUGUUCAUGACACACACAUAUAAUAAAGCAGCUAAAAGGUAGACUAAUUACUAAGAUUUUAUUGGUUUGAGCUUCUGAAGUCCUUUUAAGAAGGCAUUGAGGAUUAAUUUUACAUCAUCCUAUAUCAAAUUGUUUUCUAGUAAGUGGGCAUGAGUUUAGUAUAUACAUUUCUAUAGAAAGGUGGCACCUUUUAUAUAUCAAAAGGACUGCAAGGUAGAUCACCAAGAGGAUAUACAUGUGACGUAAUCCCCACGAAUCACUAGACAUCGUAUAAUCCAUAUAAGCUUGACCAAUCCAUUUUAAUAACACAUUCCUAUUACUAUAAUAAAAUAGUGUGCUAUUAACAUGAAACUAAAGUUUCUUGAAUGACGCUUCACCACAUACUUCCAGCAAUGGUAUUUUAGCUUUCCGACACACUUGCAGCGGUGAUGGCUCACUCCAUUUAUUCAUUACCUAGAAAAUACAAAUUCCAGUUAAUUGAAGAUAUACGUAGGAUACUAUUGGAUUGGCAAACAAGACAGUUCACAAAUCAACAUACAACACCCACUUUUCUCCCGUCAGAUGUGCAUCCUACUUGUAUUCAGUCAUAUUAUAUAUAAACUCAAAAGGCAGCGGCUUUUUUAUGGCUCAAUGAAAGCAAGGUAGAUCAUCAACAUGAUAUACAUGUGACAUAUCCCCAGAAAUAAAUGGAAGUCAUUUAAUCUGUACAAACUCGACCAAUCUAUUUCAAGAACACAUUCCUAUUACAACAAUAAAAGUGUGCUAUGAAGAUGUUUUUUGGAAGAUGCUUCCCCACAUAUUUCCAGCAACUAUAGUUUCCCGCGUAAUUCUCAAGGCAACAACUUUCCCUGGCAUUUGCAGCAGUGAUAGCUCACUGCAUGUGCUCAUUACCUAGAAAUAAGAAAAUCUAAUUCAUGCAAAACAAAACAAUUCACAAAUCAGGCAGUGUGGAAAUCUAUGUUUUUAAGGCGACGCUUUGCUUUAAGGCGCUGGGGGGCGCCUCGACGCCUAAGCGAUGCCUAGGCGCCUUAAAAACAUAGGUGGAAAUAUAUCCAUUUGGAGGAUUUGACACGACAGAAAACUUGAAGGUGGGGUGGACACCUAAUAAUUUGAUUAACACUGAAAGGAUGCACCGAACUACAAGGCAUUGCCAUGGGUAUUUCUACAAUAAUCCUCCCUAAUCUCAGCCACAAUAAGCUCCAAUUGGUGAAACACAUAGAUAUCAGAAUCUGCUGAUGCUCAUGUUUAAAUCAGAAAGAGAGAGGGAAAAACUGAAUCAACCUAGAACAAGAUGAAACAUAACAGAAAGAGGAGAGGGGGAGGGGAUCUUCCAUGGGCUAGAAGGGUCGGAGCAGACACGCGGAACCAAAGAAGGAGUUUUCUCUCUACCAGGGGGGGAGCAGACUUGAGUUUCCUUUAGCUGUCAGAGUCAUCUCGGUCGCUGGCCACAUACCUCCUACCUACAGAGACAAGGCAGGGGUCAAUGAAAAGAAGAAGAGCGUAAAAAUCAUUCUUUAUCAUGAAAAGAACAUAAUAACAAAGCAACUAGCUAGCUAUGAAGUAAAUACUAAAUCAUGUGGAUCUCAUCCUUGACAUACAUAUGUACAAAAGAGGCAUCUGGUAUUUAAUGUAAGUAAAUAGCUGCAAACACUUUGAUUUAUCAGCCACUUUGAGGCAUCUUGUAAGACUGGAAACUAACGGUGUACUCCAAUAUGCGUGUAAGUAGCAGUUCAAGGAUCCAAUUCAUCACAAAUAAAAUACUACAAGACAAAAGCAGUCAACUUUGUGCACUCAACUAGUGGUGAAAGUGAGCAUCAGAUAGUAAAAUGUACUACCUCCACAAGUGUGGUGGGAUUUUGCAUCCACCAGUUGUGGUCAAAUUUCAUGGAAAAUUGCAGGAAGCAAAGAUUUAUGCCAAGAAAGUAGAGCUUACAGUUUAACAACAACCGAUCAGAUUUAAAUAAUCUACCAAAACAUGGGGCAAAAUGAGCCUUGAUGUUUGUAACUUUCAAUUAUUUAUUAUUAGAAGGUAAAAAAAGACAAUUUCCAUGAAUGAAUACAACACAACUAAACCUUAGUUAUAAUUCAGAAAACAAGCAUAGGAAAGCUCUUUGAGAACUCAAUUGCAAUGAUGAUACAUAUGGGCAAAAGCAAAUCAGUUUUCAGUACAAGUGUGGUGGGACUUAAAAUGUGUUGGGACUUUGCACAGGUGUAAAAGGCGCUUGUUUUGCACAAGUGUGGUUGGACUUUGCAUCCACCAGUUUGGUUAAAUUUUAUGGCCAAUUGCGAGCCAAUCAAUCAGCAGUACUCUAGCGGAAACAUGGGGCAGACUCGGCCUUGACCUGUCUACCUUUCACUUGUUUAGAAGAAAAAAGGAAGACAAUUUCCAUGAAUCAAUACAAGAUUGCAGCUAACCUCAGUUUAUAAUAAUACAGAAAACACGGGAGAGCUCUUUGAGAAUUCAAUUGCAAUGAUGUCACAAUCAUAUGGGCAAAAGUGAAGCCUUUUGUUACUUGUAGCAAUACAAACAAACACACACUUGUAGGAGAGGUCCCAACCAAAUUAAAGCUUAUGUACUUAGCACUGAAACCCAUGGACACACAGAGCAUGAGCUACACACACACACACACACACACACACACACACUUGACUGGUUUUUUUUUUCAGAACUUAACUUGAAGACCCAGGCUUCACAAGUUAAUUGAUUGAACAUAAACCAAUCUCAGUUUGUUUCAAAGGGAAAACAACAUAAACAACCAGAAUGAACAACUGCGGACAGACAUAGUUAAUUAGUUAAAAUAAAAGGCUUGGGUGUGUGCCGCAAAAAGAAUAAUCUUUGUCUACUAGUGCUACCAGUAGCGCUAGAACAUGAAGCAGACCACAUCAUUAUACGCAACCAACAGCGACUCCAUAAAUCCUAGGAUUUUUUAGUCUUUUGCAACCAGAUUAAUUACUAAGUUUCUAUUGGUUUGAGCUUCUGAAGUCCUUUUAAGAAGGCAUCGAGGAUUCAUUUUACAUCAUCAUAUAUUAAUUUUUUUUUUCUAAUAAGUGGGCAUAGUUUAGUAUAUGGAUUUCUAGAGAAAGGAGGCAGCUUUUAUAUGUCUAAAUGAUUGCAAGGCAGAUCACCAAGAGGAUAUAAAAGUGACAUAAUCCCCACGAAUCACUGGAUAUCGUAAAAUCCGUAUAAGAUUGACCAAUCAUUUUAAGAACACAUUCCUAUUACAAUAAUAAAAUAAUGCACUAUUAACAUGAAACUAAAGUUUCUUGAAUAACACUUUCCCACGUACUUCCAGCAAGGUAGUUUAGCUUUUCCCACGCAUUUGCAGCGGUGAUAGCUCACUGCAUUUAUUCAUUACCUAGAAACUAGAAAUUCCAGUUAAUUGGAGAUAUAUGCAUGAUACUAGGAUUGACAAACAAAACAUUUCACAAAUCAACAUACAACACCCCAUUUUCUCCCAUCAGAUGUGCAUCCUAUGUGUAUUCAGUCAUAUUUAUAUAAAAUCAAAAGUUGGCAGCUUUUUUAUGGCUCAAUGCAAGCAAGGCAGAUCAUCAACAUGAUAUACAUGUGACAUGUCUCCACGAAUAAAUGGAAUUCAUUUAAUUUGUACAAACUUGAUGCUUCCCCCCAUAUUUCCACCAACUAUAAUUUCCCACAUAAUUCUCAAGGCAAUAGCUUUCCCAUGCAUUUGUAGCAGUGAUAGCUUGCUGCAUUUGUUCAUUACCUAGAAAUUAGAAAAUCUAAUUCACUGGAAAUAUAUGCAGGUUACUACUGGAUUGACCAAUCAGACAUGCAAAACAAAACCAUUCGUGAAUCAGGCAGGGUGGAAAUAUAUCCAAUUUGGAGGAUUUGAAGUGACACAAAACUUGCAGGCAGGGUGGACACCUACUAAUUUAAUUAACAUUGGAAGGAUACACCUAACUACAAGGCAUUGCAUUGGGUAAUUGUACAAUAAUCCUCCCUAAUAGCAGCCAAAAUAAGCUCCAACUAGUGAGCCACAUAGAUACCGGAAUCUACUGAUGCUCAUGUUUAAAUCAGAAAGAGAGAAAGGAAAAAAAACUGAAUCAGCCUAGAACAAGAUGGAACCGGAACAAAGAGAGGAGAGGGGGAGGGGACCUUCCGUGGGCUGGCAGGGUCGGAGCAGACACGCGGAACCCAAGGAGGUGGCUUCUCUCUACCAGGGGAGAAGGAGCAGACUUGAGCUUCCUUUGGCUGUUGGAGUCAUCCGGGUCACUGGGCGCUGCACCUCCUACCUACAAAGACAAGGCGGGGAUCAGAGAGCAGAAGAAGAGCAUAACAAUUCAUUCUUUAUCAUGACAGGAGCAUAACAACAAAGCAGCUAGCUAGCUAUGAAGUAAAUACUAAAUCAUGUGGGUCUCAUCCUUGACAUACAUAUGUACAGAAGAGGCAUCUUGUAAGACUGGAAACUAACUGUGUACUCCAAUAUGUGUGUAAAUAGCAGUUCAAGGAACCAAUUCAUCACAAAUGAAAUACUGCUAAACACAAGCAGUCAACUUUGUGCACUCAGCCAGUGGUGAAGGUGGGCAUCAUCAGAUAGUAAAGCGUACAAGGCACUUGUUUUGCACAAGUGUGGUGGGACUUUGCAUCCACAAGUUGGUCAAAUUUCAUGGACAAUUGUAAGGAGCAAUGAUUUGUGCCAAGAAAGUAGGGCUUCCAGUUUAACAACCAACCGAUCAGCUUUAAGUAAUCUAGUGAAACAUGGGGCAAACUCGGACGUGAUUCUGUAGCUUUCAAUUCUUUAUUAGAAGGAAAAAAAAGACAAUUUCCAUGAAUGAAUACAACACAGCUAAACCUCGGUUAUAAUUCAAAAAACAAGCAUGGCAAAGCUCUUCGAUAAUUCAAUUGAAAUGAUGAUACAUAUGGGCAAAAUCAAAGCAGUUCCCUUAUGCCAAAUGUAGUCAUCCAUGAGCAAGCCUCUUGUUACUUGUAGCAAUACAAACACACACUUGUAGGAGAGGGUCCAAACAAAUUACAGCUUAUUUACUUAGCAAUUGCAAUGAUGAUACAUGGGCAAAAGUGAAGCAGUUCACUUGAGACGAAUGUUGUUACUUGUAGCGAUACAAACACUUGUAUGAGAGGGGUUCCAGCGGAGGCCCAAACAAACUAGAGAUAAUUUCUUUAGAACUAAAUAAAAACCCUAAAAUGGGACAAUGACGAUAAACCCCGAUAUCUGUGGCUCAAUGGCCACAAGCAUCGUCAGAGCAGGCAACGAACACGGGGAGAAGAUGAAGGAGAGGAGCUCACCAUGGCCGUUUUGUAGCCGAUGCCGAACAAGCAGCAGGUGGAAGAGCCUUGAAC